GACAGAGGGUGCAAACGUUGCUCGGAAUUACUGGGCGUAAAGGGCGUGUAGGCGGGAAGGCAAGUCGGGCGUGAAAUCCCCAGGCUCAACCUGGGAACUGCACUCGAAACUGCCUUUCUUGAGUGCCGGAGAGGAAAGCGGAAUUCCCGGUGUAGCGGUGAAAUGUGUAGAGAUCGGGAGGAACACCGGUGGCGAAGGCGGGUCUCUGAGCAUCUCCUGACGCUGAGGCGCGAAAGCGUGGGGAGCAAACGGG
rnacentral:rRNA from 1 species